rnacentral:tRNA from 1 species
GGGCCGGUAGUACAGGUUGGUAGUUAUGCUCCCUUGGCAUGGGAGAGGUCGUGGGUUCGAGUCCCACCCGGUCCA